UACAGAGGUCCCGAGCGUUUGUUCGGAUUCACUGGGCGUAAAGAGCGCGCAGGCGGUCGUCCAAGUCGCGUGUGAAAGCCCCCGGCUCAACUGGGGAGGGUCACGCGAUACUGGUCGACUCGAAGGCAGGAGAGGGUAGUGGAAUUCCCGGUGUAGUGGUGAAAUGCGUAGAUAUCGGGAGGAACACCAGUGGCGAAGGCGGCACUCUGGGGCCGGAACUGACGCUGAGGAGACGAAAGGCGUGGGGAGCGGAACGGG
rnacentral:rRNA from 1 species